AUUUCUAUACCACAACUAAUCAAGAUCUAGAAGGAGAAUUAAAGUUUAUAUACAAUAUAGGAAAACAGCACAGCUAUCUAUACCCAUGGGUUUUUGAAAAGUAUACAAGCCAAAGUACAGCAGAUGCUAAGUGACGUAACUUCUACCAGCCAAGGCGCGCAUGACGAAACCGAGAGUAGCGAAGGAUACGUAACAUUGCCAGCUCCAAUAGCAAGAUGCAAGACUGUAAAAAACAUACUAAAGAAGAUAAAAAGGAGACUAAUAGUGCGAAGAACGCAGACAAUUUUUAAUAAAAUCAGAAAUGAAAAAGACAGGAGAACAGAGGCG
rnacentral:lncRNA from 1 species